AUUGAACGCUGGCGGCAGGCCUAACACAUGCAAGUCGAACGGUAACAGGAAGAAGCUUGCUUCUUUGCUGACGAGUGGCGGACGGGUGAGUAAUGUCUGGGAAACUGCCUGAUGGAGGGGGAUAACUACUGGAAACGGUAGCUAAUACCGCAUAACGUCGCAAGACCAAAGAGGGGGACCUUCGGGCCUCUUGCCAUCGGAUGUGCCCAGAUGGGAUUAGCUAGUAGGUGGGGUAACGGCUCACCUAGGCGACGAUCCCUAGCUGGUCUGAGAGGAUGACCAGCCACACUGGAACUGAGACACGGUCCAGACUCCUACGGGAGGCAGCAGUGGGGAAUAUUGCACAAUGGGCGCAAGCCUGAUGCAGCCAUGCCGCGUGUAUGAAGAAGGCCUUCGGGUUGUAAAGUACUUUCAGCGGGGAGGAAGGGAGUAAAGUUAAUACCUUUGCUCAUUGACGUUACCCGCAGAAGAGGCACCGGCUAACUCCG
rnacentral:rRNA from 1 species